GACGAACGCUGGCGGCGUGCUUAACACAUGCAAGUCGAACGGAAAGGCCCUGCUUUUGUGGUGUGCUCGAGUGGCGAACGGGUGAGUAAUACGUGAGUAACCUGCCCGUGACUUUGGGAUAACUUCAGGAAACUGGGGCUAAUACCGGAUAGGAGCUCCUGCUGCAUGGUGGGGGUUGGAAAGUUUCGGCGGUUGGGGUUGGACUCGCGGCUUAUCAGCUUGUUGGUGGGGUAGUGGCUUACCAAGGCUUUGACGGGUAGCCGGCCUGAGAGGGUGACCGGCCACAUUGGGACUGCGAUACGGCCCAGACUCCUACGGGAGGCAGCAGUGGGGAAUAUUGCACAAUGGGCGGAAGCCUGAUGCAGCAACGCCGCGUGCGGGAUGACGGCCUUCGGGUUGUAAACCGCUUUCGCCUGUGACGAAGCGUGAGUGACGGUAAUGGGUAAAGAAGCACCGGCUAACUACGUG
rnacentral:rRNA from 1 species